rnacentral:rRNA from 1 species
GACGAACGCUGGCGGUAUGCUUAACACAUGCAAGUCGAACGAGAAGUCUUUUAUUGAACCUUCGGGGGAUAUAAGAGACAGACAGUGGCGAACGGGUGAGUAACGCGUGGGCAACCUACCUAUCGGAGCGGGAUAGCCUCGAGAAAUCGGGAGUAAAACCGCAUAACACGGAUAUAUCGCAUGAUGAAUCCGUCAAAACUCCGGUGCCGAUAGAUGGGCCCGCGUCUGAUUAGCUAGUUGGUAAGGUAAGGGCUUACCAAGGCAACGAUCAGUAGCCGGUCUGAGAGGGCGAACGGCCACACUGGAACUGAGACACGGUCCAGACUCCUACGGGAGGCAGCAGUGGGGAAUAUUGCGCAAUGGGGGCAACCCUGACGCAGCAAUACCGCGUGAGUGAAGAAGGUUUUCGGAUCGUAAAGCUCUGUUAUUGGGGAAGAAGCAGUGACGGUACCCAAUGAGGAAGUCCCGGCUAACUACGUGCCAGCAGCCGCGGUAAUACGUAGGGGACGAGCGUUGUCCGGAAUCACUGGGCGUAAAGGGCGCGUAGGCGGUUUUAUAAGUCAGAUGUGAAAGGUACCGGCUCAACCGGUGACGUGCAUUUGAAACUGUAAGACUUGAGUACUGAAGAGGCAAGCGGAAUUCCUAGUGUAGCGGUGAAAUGCGUAGAUAUUAGGAAGAACACCGGUGGCGAAGGCGGCUUGCUGGGCAGAUACUGGCGCUGAGGUGCGAAAGCGUGGGGAGCGAACAGG